AUGGCAAGCUGUCAAGCGACUGUCGGCGCACAAGGCGCCCGGCCCAGACGGCUUCACCGCAGGGUUCCUGCGCUCCUGCUGGCCUAUCGUGAAGCACGACCUUGUCCGCGUCUUCUAGCAGCUAUAUGCGCUACGAGGAAGGGGAUUCAGCUGCUUGAACCAAACCUGCUUACGCUGAUUCCAAAGCGAGCUGACGCAGCCGGGCUGGGGGAUUACAGGCCCAUUAGCCUAAUCCAUCUCGUCGCGAAGAUCUUCGCAAAGGUGCUGUCCCUUCGACUAGCACCCAAGUUGAACGAGCUAGUCAGCCCCAUCCAGAACGCUUUCAUCCCGGGACGAAGCCUUCACGACAAUUUCGUGCUUAUCCGCCAAUCGGCGCGCCUUCUUCAUCAGCUGGGCGCCCCGCGCAUCCUCCUGAAGCUGGACCUUGCGCGGGCAUUUGACUACAUGUCAUGGACGUUUCUAUUCGAGGUCUUGCGCCGGUAUGGCUUCAACGAUCGCUUCCUUGGUUGGCUUGCUACUCUCCUGUCGUCGGCAAGCACAAGGGUUCUCCUCAACGGCGUGUCGGGACCCGCGAUCUGGCACCGCUGUGGGCUUCGUCAAGGCGACCCUGUGUCACCACAACUCUUUGUGCUUGCUGUCGACACAUUGGGGCGCCUCUUCCGUCGCGCGGCUGAGCUCAAAGUCCUGCAGCAACUGCACCCUCGCCGCACGCUCCCCGUCCUUUCGCUGUACGCGGACGAUGUCAUACUCUUCUGCUAG
rnacentral:rRNA from 1 species